GACGAACGCUGGCGGCGUGCUUAACACAUGCAAGUCGAACGGAAAGGCCCCGCCUUUCUGGGGUGCUCGAGUGGCGAACGGGUGAGUAACACGUGGGUGAUCUGCCUUUCACUCUGGGAUAAGCUUAGGAAACUGGGGCUAAUACCGGAUAUGAGCUGCCGUUGCUGGGGGGGUUGGAAAGUUUUUUGGGUGCAGGAUGUGCUCGCGGCCUAUCAGCUUGUUGGGGGGGGAAUGGCCUACCAAGGCGUCGACAGGUAGACGGGCUGUGAGGGGGUACGGCCAAAUUGGGACUGAGAAAAGGCCCAGACUCCUAAGGGAGGGAGGAGUGGGGAAUAUUGGAAAAAUGGCCGAAGCCCGAUGCCGGGACGCCGCGUGGCGGGUGACCGGCUUCGGGUUGGAAACCCGCUUCGGCAGGGAAGGAGGCGUUUGUGACGGUAACUGGAUAAGAAGCACCGGCUAACUACGUG
rnacentral:rRNA from 1 species